rnacentral:lncRNA from 1 species
GGCGACCCGCCUGGUAAAGCCCAAGCGGGCCGCGUGGGGCUGCCAGCGAGCAGAAAAUUCGUUUGGGUCGAAUUGGGUCCGAAUUUGAGUUGGUUACAGCUGUUUCUUGCCUCUUUUUGCACCAAUUAGAAGCCAUGCAUGGCUAGGCAACAGUAACCCACGAAAUUGUGACUUUAAAUCAGAUUUUUGAUCAUAUUUCUUGGCACUUGAAGUUGUAAACAAGAAGCUCUCUAUCAAGAACUUUCAAGGCAGUUUCCUGGAGACAAUCUGAGCAACAAGGCCGACUUCUAGUGUUCACUAAACCUCUAUAGGACUCUUCCUAUUCGAAUGCUUGUUUCCGGAGGCCCGGUAAAAGCUACCAACACUUAUCGUUUGUGACUUAUACUUGCU